rnacentral:misc_RNA from 1 species
UCGCGUGCGCAGAUGACGCGCAUCAUCGAUGAUAUCGCCUGUUAUACACGGCGCGAUGUGUUAAGCUGAAUUUUCCCCUAACGCAUUCGAAACAGGCAGGCAGACGCAAUGCCACUGCCCGUGUUUGCGCGGCAUUUUUCAUGAAAGCAAUUGCNNGUCAUUUUGGACGCAAUCUUAACCGUGUCAUUUUACUCAAAUGAAAUUCCCCCAUGCGCCU